rnacentral:rRNA from 1 species
UACGUAGGGACCAAGCGUUGUUCGGAUUUACUGGGCGUAAAGGGCGCGUUAGGCGGCGUGUUAAGUCAGCUGUGAAAUCUCCAAGCUUAACUUGGAACGGUCAGCUGAUACUGAUGUGCUAGAGUGCAGAAGGGGCAAUCGGAAUUCUUGGUGUAGCGGUGAAAUGCGUAGAUAUCAAGAGGAACACCUGAGGUGAAGACGGGUUGCUGGGCUGACACUGACGCUGAGGCGCGAAAGCUAGGGGUAGCAAACGGG